rnacentral:rRNA from 1 species
CGUCUAUAUACGUAUAGCAUAUCAAUAAGCGGAGGAAAAGAAACUAACUAGGAUUCCCUCAGUAACGGCGAGUGAAGCGGGAAGAGCUCAAAUUUGAAAUCUUCAAGGUUUUACCUUGACGAAUUGUAGUUUAAAGAAGUGUUUUCUGUUGGAAGUUUUGGUAAAAGUUCUUUGGAAUAGAGACAUCAUAGAGGGUGAGAAUCCCGUAUUUGACCAUUAUUUCCAGCUUUGUGAUACACUUUCAAAGAGUCGGAUUGUUUGGGAAUGCAGUCCAAAAUGGGUGGUAAAUUUCAUCUAAAGCUAAAUAUUGGCGAGAGACCGAUAGCGAACAAGUACCGUGAGGGAAAGAUGAAAAGAACUUUGAAAAGAGAGUUAAACAGUACGUGAAAUUGUCAAAAGGGAAGCGUUUGACACCAGUGUUGUUUUCUCGAAAAUCAAUUAAAAAUGGUGGGAUUUUGUGUUGUAUUGACUUUAUCAGCUUUCUGCACUUUUUUCCUAUCUUUUUUAAUGCACUUUUCGUUUAACAAGUCAACAUCAAUUUCUUUUGCUGUAAAAGGGUCAUUGGAAGGUGGCUUUCUUUUCGGAGAAAGUGUUUAUAGCCUUUGGCCUCUGCAGUCGGAGAGAUUGAGGUCUGCAGCGUAGAUCCUUCGGGGUUAGAUGCAUUUGUGCUAAGUUAUAGCCUUUCAUAGACAACUUGUUGACUAUGAUCAGUCAUGUAGCUUAUUCGCUUAUGCUAUUUUACCUACGCUUAGGAUGUUGAUCUGUAGUGCGUGCGC